GGCGCAGUGGCACAGUGGGUAGCACUGAUGCCUCGCAAGAAGACAGUUCUGGGUUCGAGUCCCGGCUGGCUUG
rnacentral:tRNA from 1 species